CGAAAGCCUGACGGAGCAACGCCGCGUGAGGGAGGAAGGCUCUUGGGUUGUAAACCUCUUUUCUCAAGGAAGAUAAUGACGGUACUUGAGGAAUCAGCAUCGGCUAACUCCGUGCCAGCAGCCGCGGUAAUACGGAGGAUGCAAGCGUCAUCCGGAAUAAUUGGGCGUAAAGCGUUCGUAGGUGGUGAUGUAAGUCUGCUGUUAAAGCGUGUAGCUUAACUACAUAUAGGCGGUGGAAACUACAUGACUAGAGUGCGUUCGGGGCAGAGGGAAUUCCUGGUGUAGCGGUGAAAUGCGUAGAUAUCAGGAAGAACACCGGUGGCGAAGGCGCUCUGCUAGGCCGUAACUGACACUGAGGGACGAAAGCUAGGGGAGCG
rnacentral:rRNA from 1 species